UGAUUACGCUGGCGGCGUGCCUAACACAUGCAAGUCGAACGAGGUAGCAAUACCUAGUGGCAGACGGGUGAGUAACACGUGGUCAACCUUCCCUACAGUGGGGGAUAACUAGCCGAAAGGUUAGCUAAUACCGCAUAACAUCUACGAGUGGCAUCACAUGUAGAUCAAAGGAGUAAUCCGCUGAAGGAUGGGACCGCGCCCGAUUAGUUAGUUGGUGGGGUAAUGGCCUACCAAGACUCCGAUCGGUAGCUGGUUUGAGAGAGCGACCAGCCACACUGGGACUGAGAAACGGCCCAGACUCCUACGGGAGGCAGCAGUGAGGAAUUUUCCGCAAUGGGCGAAAGCCUGACGGAGCGACGCCGCGUGUGGGAAGAAGGCCUUCGGGUCGUAAACCACUGUCGAAGGGGAAGAUAAUGACGGUACCCUUGGAGGAAGCCCCGGCUAACUACGUGCCAGCAGCCGCGGUAAGACGUAGGGGGCGAGCGUUAUUCGGAAUUAUUGGGCGUAAAGCGCUCGUAGGCGGGACCGAAAGUC
rnacentral:rRNA from 1 species